rnacentral:ncRNA from 2 species
UACGUAGGAUGCGAGCGUUGUCCGGAAUUAUUGGGCGUAAAGAGAACGUAGGUGGCUUGUUAAGUUCGGUCUUAAAGACCGGGGCUCAACCCCGGGAAUGGACUGAAGACUGGCAGGCUAGAGGAUGUCAGAGGAUGGUGGAAUUCCCAGUGUAGCGGUGAAAUGCGUAGAUAUUGGGAGGAACACCUGUGGCGAAAGCGGCCAUCUGGGGCAUUCCUGACACUGAGGUUCGAAAGCUCGGGGAGCAAACAGG